rnacentral:sRNA from 1 species
GUUGGGCCUGGUGGUGCAUACCUGUAAUCCCAGCAGCUCAGGAGACUGAGACAGGAGGAUCACAAAUUCAAAGUCAGCCUCAGCAACUUAGUGAGAUCCUAUGGAACAUAGGGAGACCCUGACUCAA